AGCAGCGCGUCAGGAGAGGAUUCAUCGAAGUACACUUCCGGUCGUCGGCAUGCGCAUUCAUUCACAUAAAUGAUUUAGUGCGACCUGCAUGUCUGUGUCCCGAUUCGGUUUCGUCACAGGAUGAGGACGCAGAGAUGAAGCGCCAGUCCACCGAACCGAGUGAGACGCGAUUAAGCGCAUCCCGCUUCCGAGACCCUCUUGCAUAAGGAACCUGCGCAUUCACUCAGCGACUUACAGGUCCACGUUAUGUCUGUUACUACAGAGCCAUACACACACCAUGAUGAACGGAUCCCAAGAUAAACCCCCGAGGAAGUAUGGCUCCGUUUGCAUUCGAAAGAACGCCGCGUCUCUGUGAUCCCUCGGUAGACGCGAAGUGCACGCGAACAUUGCACGCUUGACAUUUCAUCACUAGCUUUCCAGGCGCCAAAGAUAUUUCCAUCUCAGGUCUGGUCUUCUGUUACCGUUCUCACCGAGGGGUUUUCCCUCUCUGAGCGCAGCGCGCUCUGACUCAGUGAGUUGAAACAUUCGCGGACUGGGCGGGAUAGGUUCUUCAAGUUCCUCCUCAGCAGGUUCGUCCGGCUCUUCGCGGUGGUUCCUCAGGUCGGCGUUCUCCAGCUUCUGAUCUCUACCUCCCAGCGUCUUCUCUUCGUGCUCCUCCUUGCGCUCUCGCCCCUCAUCUCCUUCCUUGCUCACUCCGACUACGCUGCGGUCUCUGUCUCCGGCAUCCCUCCACUGCGGUCGCUCUCGGAACCUCUCCUCGCGUCUUUUCUCGAACUCUCUUCUGCGUCUGUCCCAAGCCGCAGCUCGCUGUUGCUCUCGAUGCAGCUCGAGGUGAACGUCCACGACAGCGAGGCCGAAGGCGUCUGCGAGCAGAGCCGCUUGCUUCACAGCAUCUCGGCGAUUUGCGCCCGAGAACGCGACGGCAAUCUUCUUCGCCUCUAGAGUUGGAGCGCGACCUAGGAAGGUUUUUGGGUCGUCGAGAAAUCGCUUCUGCUUCUCUUCGUCUGCAAAGAGAAACACGCGCCCCGCGUAGUCCACAGCGAGCUCCCUGCGACCCUCAGCAGCCACGCCCUCGUCGAACAGCGUCACCGGACAGCUUUGCUUCCAGGCCGACCAGAUCCGGGAAAAGACCUGAGGCAAGUCGCUCUCUUCGGCACUCUCUCGGGCCGUUGACGCCCCGCUGCGGUGGCUCAGAUAAGCUGGAAAGGAAAGAGGACACCCAGAAGUGACGCGAAGGCAGUAGAGAAACGACACAGGGACCGAUACGCAGGAAAUGUGCAGGUGCGAAGGAAAGAUGGACUCCGAGGAGCCUUCGGCUACGCUUCGACAAGUCCCCUUUCUCCAAUGCCCUACUCAAUUCUUCAUGAAUGCAUUACGUUUAUUGGUAAUGCAUGGGUAUAACUACCGCACCGACACUCAGCUAGCUCCUGAGAGAGACAAAUGCGGGAUGGCAUGAUAAGGAAGUCGCUGGGGAACACAGUCGCCCCAUAGGGUGUGUAGUGUCUCUGUUGUUUUUUUCGGGCAAAAAGCGGUGGGGGAUUGAGGCUGGCUCGACAAAAACGGCUGAGCAUCCUGCGGUGUCGCUGCCCGAUACAGGUCUUCAUGCUUUCGUGUUUUCUGUUGCUCUCUUCUUCAUCUCCCGUUCGCCUCCCCUUUCCCCCGACAUCGGUGCGUUUGAUGAAUAGAGUCGCUUGGAACGAAAACGUCUAUCCAACAGUCAUCGAAUUACAGGUAGUACUGGAAUAUCACCCAGCAUUUUCUGCCGUGGCCUCUCGCUUUCCUGUAGAUCGGCGGGUCCCGGGAGCAACCCGCGCACUGCUUCACUGAGGUUUUCACUGAACAGAAGAGGCAUAUGUAUUUGCAUGAGGCGCAUGUCUCUUGCAAAAGGCGAAACCAUCUUCUCCUUCAUCAUCUCACUCCUUUUUCCUUUGAUCUUCCUUGAGUCCGCCUCUCCGUUCCUCAUCCCCUUUUUCACUUCUUCGUUCCCCUUCUCUUUUCUUCGUUAUCUCGCUCCUUUCUUUGUUCGCGUUCUCCUUUCUCUUCGUCCUUCUCGAACCGUAUUCGGCCUUCCCUAAAGGUUCCUGUUUCCCCCCCUCGGUUCUUCGUUUGCUGAUUCUCCUCGCCUGUCUCUCCGCGUUAUUCUUCCCUUCUCCGGCCAAGUCUCACCGUCAGCGUCGUCAGCGACGGCAGCGUCACUGUUCGCGUUAGCUUCGAGGUGCGCUUGGGAUCCCUGCUGGUCUCUGCCCUCUUCGAAUCCUGUCGGCGUGAGGUCCUCCUCGUCUGAGGUCUCGCCUUCUCGCUCUUCGACGACUUCAUCCUCCGCCUCUCUGCGCUCCCGCGCCCGGGCCUCCUCCAAGCCGAGAGACAGCAAAUCCGCCAGAGGCGUGUAGGGUUCGACGCCGCGGAUGGGCGUUGGCAGCGGCGCCGCUGUCUGGAGAAACGGAGGCGCAGCAGCCACUGCCGCAGGCGUCUUGUUGAUGUGCAUCGCUAAGAUGCGCGCCAUCCCACUCGUUGAUGUGUCGCCUAACCAAAGGAGCAGAAAGACGGUGACAAAGAAUACAAGAUAGACUGGAGCAGGAAAGAAAACGAGAGACGAGAACGGACUCAGGCGGAGCACGAGAAGAGAGGGAAAAAAGCCGGCAGAGAACAUGAAAAGAAACAAGAAAAAACGAAACACUGGAGGAAAGAAGGUGAACCACAUCACGAGAGAAAACGCAGAAACUGGAACAGAAAACAUGAAGACGGAACGCCGAGCAAGAGACAUCCGGCUUGCCGCCUUCGUCUGGAGCUCGUCUGCGAAGGACGAGCGUCGGAGAAACCGAAAGAAGGCGCCUUGAGGCAUCCGCAGUGUGUCGGAAUCGCCGCACCGUGGUAGAGCUUCAACGCCCGCGAGCCGGCCUUCAUAAUGUCCGACAAAAUGUCGUUUGCCAGCUCGCGCUGCUCUCUCAAGUAGUCCGCCGUUAAAGCGGGGAAGUACAGUUUCCCGUUCUCGCUGAUCCCCCCAGGACGCGAGAGCGCGCGCCUCAGUGGCGGAGUCGCCGGACAUGCAAAGGCGGGAGGAAACAUGCGCCGGAGGGCCUGAGCGACAGGUCAGAGACUCCAGUUGUGAAAUGCAUACAGCCAAGUUUUUGAUGCCUGCUGUACAGUAUCACCCCACUGGAGUGAAUAAGUGAGCUCAAAGCGCUACAAUUGCAUACCCGACGACAUCAAACGUAUUCCACGUCGAUUAUGCUCUAAGCGCAAGAAGCACGAUAGAGCUAUCAGUGCUGUUAACGACUCCAGCGCGCGUACUCAAAGACACCCUACAGCGGGCAACGCAGACGGAGAAAGCGACACACAGCAGCAUGUACAUCUCGCAAGGAAGAGGCGAAACGCGCAGCGAGGGUACGGCGGGGAAAGAAGAAUUUGUGAAGGCGGUUGUUUCUAAGUUGCUCGUUCGUCGCUGAACGCGUCAUAGCAGCUCUUCUGUGGAGUAGCAGACUCCACUGAUGAUGUGCUACAGACUUGAUUUUCCGGUCGCCCACGGGGGUUCUAUCUAAGCAGCCGAGUAGCAUCUUAGACGACAGAUGGCCAGAAGAAAAAGACGUAGCCGGUCUGUCGGGGAGAGACGCAGAGUAGAGAGGAAAAGUGAGGGAGAAUCGGAGUGACCAAAUCGGGGUCACCUGAGCGGAAUUCCCAGCCUCCGACUUGGACGUCAGGCGCGACCAGGCCAGGGACGUGAGGCAGCAGAGGCACUUCAGACUCACAGUCAGAAGAUCUUCGCCGAUGUCGAGGUCUUCCCAGUUCAUCGGCGCCUCGUCCACGAAGGACUUGUUCACAGUCGAGAGUGAGUCUGCAGGAAUCGGCGAAAGGGUGACGAAAACAUGCACAGGAGAGCGUGGAAAGGCAGACGGAAAAGCAGUCGGGCUGUCAGGCAGAAGAAUAGAAACGUCGCAGGUCGUGUUUGAGGAAAGAUGAAAGAAACUGAAGACGGCGGAAAAGCAUGAAAAACUCUUUCAUUUCCCUGAACGGAUGUCUACGCUUACGAUUCAGCGGCCGGGACUACCUGGCGUUUAACGCCUCCGUGUGCCAGCCUCACACCGCCCAGAGAGGAUUCUCUUGAGCUUUUCUGGGGAAACGAACAAGUGAGGCUUGAACAAAAGCCUUCGCCGCAGAUGAACGCUCACAUCUCGAUUGCAUGCAACCAAAAACAGAGGCGUGACGAAGUAAAAACUCAGACAAUCUUGCGAGGUGCCAGAGACCAUGCGGACUCUAGAGUAUAAUGAAACAUUAGACCGGACCUGCGACAGAUGAACCUUUCACGGAUCCCUGGAUAUUCGCAGGCGAGUGUCAGCCAGGCAUGCGAAUUUCAAGUUGUUCAUGAACCCCAUUUGGGCAAACAGGCUUGAUAGCGCUACCGCAAGUACAAAAACAAUUAUACAGACCCAGCAUUCGCGGGUGCACGGUCGAAGAGUCGAGUACUUUCCACUCAGACAGAGUCCGCCACGCUCACGAGACACUGGAGAAAAACCUCGGCAGAUUCAGGCUCAAAGAGACGACCAGAGUGCGCAGACCUGGCGAGAGAACGGGAGAAAUCGGGGACCUGUUUCAACAGAGACAGAGGAGACAAGCAAAGAUCCCUCGGUUUCCUGUUGCUCACCUGUGCUCUUUCCGGGCAUAAGAGGAGGCCUUUUGAACGUCCGGACGGUCGAGUCGAGCACUCGCACGGUGCCGCCGGUGUCUGCAUCGAUUCUGGAGAGAGCCACAAAGCAAGCGUGAGAAGUGAGGACAGUCAAAGAAAGCGACAGAGGACGCCCGAACGUCGCCAGAGCUGCGACUUGGAGACAAGCUGUGAGUAAGGAACGAGAGAAUCAAGACGCGUGACGAAAAGCAGAGCUGAACGCUUACCCAAACGAUUUCGCGAUGGCAUCCGCAUCUUCGGAUUCGACUUGUACGAGAACCACCUCUCUCGGAUACACAUCCAUAAGCGGAUUCGGCAUCUUUUCGCCUGCUUGCAGAGCUUUCUCCAACGCCUCUUGUGCUUCUUGUUUUUCGUCAACUUCUUCAUGUUCCCCCUCAUCCUCCCCUUCGUCACUCUCGUCCUCGCCUCUUCCCUCUCCUUCCUCCCUCUCUCCUUCCUCCCUCUCUUCUUCCUCCCUCUCUCCUUCCUCUCUCUCUUCUUCCGCUCUCUCUUCUUCCGCUCUCUCUUCUUCCGCUCUCUCUUCUUCCGCUCUCUCUUCUUCCUCUCUCUCUUCUUCCUCCCUCUCUUCUUCCGCUCUCUCUUCUUCUUCUGCGUUCUCUCCUCCUUCGAGAUGUUCUUCUCCUUCUCUCUCCUCUCGUGUCUCCCUGUCUUCUGGUCCCUCUUCAGACGCGGGCAGAGUCCGUUUUUGGUCUGCCUCCUCUUCUUCUCCCUCGUCUCCAAGCAGGGAAGCAGAGGGCAGGCGUCCUUCUUGUUGAGGGUUUAGACCCCCUAGCUCUUCCUCACCCAUAUCGGGUGCUGUUUCUUCGUUUUUCUCUGCGUGUGCUUCGUCGCAUUGCCCUUCCGCGAAUGCCGCUGAUGUGCCAUCUUUUGCGUCCUUCUCUCCCUCUUCCUGGCUCUGCUCGUCCGGGUCUCGACUCCGCGACUCGUCUUCACUCGGUUGUUUGUUCGUUCCCGCAGAGGAGGUUGCGUCUGCGUCGGCUUCAUCCUCUGUCGUGCUCUUCUGUUCUCUAGGCAGUUGAUAGCCUCCUUCCUUUUCUGUGUUCUUGGAGGAAGAGAUACCGUCUCCGGCUUCCGUCUCUGGGGCGUCGCCCUGCUUCAAUCCGUUCUGAGAGCCUCCAGUCUUUCGUCCGUCCUUCGUUUCUCCUUGGCCAUUCGAAUUCGGCAGAGCAUCCUUGUCUCUUUGGUUUUCGUCCUGUGAUGUCGCGUCCUCUGGAUGCCUCGACACUGGCCCUCCCCCUCUGUUUUCUGCGGCCUCGGCUUUCUCAUGUUCUUCACCCGUCCAGGGACCGGAAUUGUGAUCGCGCUCGCUGAUCCCUCUUUCGCCCCCUUUCUCAUUUCCAGCAAAUCCGUUCACAACCUCGAGCCCGGCCUUCUCUUCUCUUUCGUCCCCUGUCUCUCUCCAUGAUUCUUCCAGGAAAAAAUCGGUCCGCUCUUCCUCCUGCAUCGCUUCUUCCCCACAACUCUCUCUCCGACUCGACCCCCUGUUCUUCACUUCCUCGUCCUCUCGUCCUGCUACUGUUCCUUCCAUGUUCUGUUCUUCACUUUGCCUCGCGUCUUCCUUUUUCUUCUCUUCUUCCUCCCAUUCUCCCUCCUCUGCCUCGCGGAUGCCCUCGAGUGCCUGGCGCGCGAGAAACUCUCCCCAGUUAAUGGCCAGCUUUCCUGAGACCUCCUUCGUCGCUUUCAGAAAACGCUCGAUUGCCUGUUAUACAAGGUGAAGGCGAGACGAAACGAGGACAGUUGAUACAUUCAGCGGUUCGUUUCUCCCUCGUCGUGUUUCCUUCCUCUGUUUUCUUUCUUCUUGUUUUCCUUCUCUCGCCUUCCUUCCGCCUCAUGGGUAUUUCCUCAUCUUCCGUGUUCUGCACGGCUCUAUCAUUCCUUCUUUUCCGCUGCUUCUUCGUUUUGCUCGCCAGAAGUUGGUUCCCUUCUCUCCCAGAUGCCAUUGUCUGGACUCGCCUCCUUUUCUUUCGCUUCAUCGAGUCUCCCCUCCUUUAGACAAUCAAGUUCCUUAUGAUUGCACCCCUCCACUGAACUGCUUGAGACAGCUAAAAGCGUUUCAUCGUCUCUUAAUCUUUCCUUAUCCCAGGCCGAGCGUAGCGCCUUCCCAGUUGAUCUCACCCGCGGACUAUCGCUCGGCAGUUCAAGGACGUAGCCGGCCGCUCUCGCCCGCCUGCUCGCCAUGAACUCGGAAGCGAGGCGGAGAGAGUCAGACGUUGAGACUGUUUUCCCGGCCUGCAGCUGACGAAGCAGUCUGAAUCGCAGCAAAUUCAGGUCGCUCACGCAAACGCGAAUCAGGGGUCCACACUGCGUUUUUUGCCUACAGUCAAAGUUCAGAAGAGAGUCGGAAGGACCAUGAGAGAACAACUCAAGAGGAAGAGGGAACGGCACUGCCGCGUCUCGGCCUCUCUCUCAUUGGCUGCGAGGCUUCCGAGCACCCCACGGUGGACGCGGCACACGCACCGGGAAACGAACGAGAAGCGAAACGAAGAAGAAAAAAAAAACAGAAGGGACAGGCUGAGCAGAUGCUGACGCAUCCAGCGACGGACAGCACAAGUGGAGAAGACACUGGCGUAGGUCAGUAACGAAUUGCAAAUAAGUUCUCUAUGAAAAGCGUCGGAAAUACGAGUGUCACUUCUUCCCUUCGUUUCGAGCUCUUUCUUCUGUCCUUUCUCCCCGUUCUUCUCUUGAAGGCCUGCUUCCCCGCGACACGGGCGGGUGAAGGCCCACAAGGGGAAGCAAGAAGCGGUCUGUGAGAAACCAUCCGGAAAGUUCUUUGUCAUUUCGAGAAGAAGCGAGAACAUCUGUCACGGACCUUUUCGCGAGAGGAGAAAGAAGCUGCCUGGACAGCCGACCAAGACUCUGCAGCAAAUACUCUGGUUGCAGCCACUCCAGGCCGAGUUUCCGUGCCAAUUUGUACGCUAGGUUGCUCUUUUCUGUCGACGCAAACAGAAAGCAUCAGAGCCACUGCAGUGUCACAGCAUUUUUGGUCCGCGUAUCGACUUCUUCUGUACAGACAGACGAGUAGAAGGAAUACCGAAACGCAAUGCACCGCCGCGUGAUCUAGUUGUUUAGUUGUUUGUCUCCACUCUGGUUGUGAGUCUCCAUUUUCACGAGUCUAUUUCGCACUAUCUCACCCAUUGCCUUUUUCCCCAACAUGUUGAGAAAAACAUGCACGAGGACGCCUCCAAACACAUGCCUCUUAGUAGAGAGCUAUAUUUGCAUGCAUGUAGGUCCACAUACAGGUGGAUUCGUCUCCAGGCAAAGUUUGAUUUUUUCGCGAAGUCUCAACGCACUCGAAUGCGUUUCUUACCGGGAAUCCCCGGUCCUGCGACCACAAUGGCUUGUUUCGGUGUGAUGGCGAGAUUCACCAUGUCUCUCUCGAGGAGACCUGGACCCGCAUCUGAGGCAGGGAGAGCCUCGUGUACGUACGGCGGCCCUGAGGGAUCUUCAGGAGGAGGUGUAAGCGGAGGCGAGGGAGAAGGGGGUUCUCCCGUCCCUCUCUCACCUCCUCUCGCAGUUCCUGAGACAAACAGACCCGUCGGAAAAAGGAAGUCUACGAGCGGAGCCGUGCUCUGGACGCGGGCAUGUUGAGUCGUGAACGCCUCAAAAGUGUCUGGCUUAGAACGGCCAAUCAAACAGAGACAGAGGGGAGAAGCCGAGUCUCCCCCCAUCAGCCCAGAGGAGUCCACCCGCCACUCGUAGCGCUGCCCUCUGAGAGAUCCGCCGAGGGCGGAGGACAAGGAAAAAGCCGCAACGGUGACUCUCAGAGACAGGAAGAAAGGAAACGUUCGAUGUGCGUUUUCGUGUACACGAAGGUUCGCCUGUUCCUAAAUAGCCUCUGGCCGUUCUGCUCGCCUCCGAUCAGAUGGUACCCUUUCUUGCUUCCGGCGUCGAAAGGUCGCUGAGUGUUCCUUCUUUUCCUCUGUGUCUCUCGGCAAGUCUUGCCAUGUUUCCGAUCCCUUCUUCCUCUGGAACGUACCGCCUUUGCUCGACAGAGUGGCGGCGCUUCGAGGCGUCGCCGAGCACGUCACCAGGGAAACGAGAGCUGAAGGAGAAAAGACGGGAGAAACGGAAGAGGUCAGGGAGCUCACAAGAAAGUUUAAGAUGCAAAUGAAUGGCAGAGGUAGAAACCGACAAGCCAAAGAAGACAGCGAAAGAACAGCAACACGAGAGAGAAGGUGCAGGAGGCAGCGGCGGAGCUGCAGAAGCCAAGUAUCGAGACGAGCGAGGCGCGUGAUGAGGUGUCAACAUAGGGCUACACGGGGACGAAGUUGGUCGUGUGCUUCUUGUUUCAAUACUCGCGCCUCCUCGGUUUCGCAGCUCACUCGUCUUUCGCUUUCCUCUGUGUCAGUUUCUCAAUCUUCUUCCUGUUCUCCGUCAUCUCCUCGGGUCGGCUUCUCCCCUCUAUUAUUUUCUUUGUCUCCCGUGUCUUCUACUCUUUUAAGCCUCUUCCAUAUAUAUGCACCUUGCGCCGUCUCCGCUUCCCUGUCUUCUUCCUUCCUGCCGCCUCUGUCGUUCCUCCCCAGUUCUCUGUCCUUCUUCUCCUUUUGCUUCACCUUCUCCUGUACGCGCACCUCUCGACUCCACCGUCCGUGUGGCACCUUGCCAGGUGGCAAAUUCUGCUCAGUUAACUCCUUCUUCCCGUCUCUAUUAGGUUUCGUCUUCGCUUCUUUCUACAUAGUUUGUGCCUCGUUUCCCUCUGUUUCCUUCACUACAUACACCUUUCUCGCGUCGCACCUUGUCGGCUCCACGUGCUCCCUCUCCCUUUCCAAGCUCCUCCUUACUUUUGAGGGACUCGGCUGUUCUUCUCGCCACAGAACCAGCCGCCUCCAAAAGCAGCGAACCCUCAGCCAGCCAGUUGAAAACUUUGCUUCCUCUCUCUUCGCCCAACAGAAGCGGAUCACUUUGGGACCGAAACAAAAUCCGUGGGGUCCGUGUGCUUUGGCCGCCGGCGUCAUCGCCAGCUCCUCCCGCUCUCUCGCCUUCCUUCGCCUCCAACGCCUCGAAGAGUCCGUCAUCUGGAGUCGUAAUUACAAAUGCAUCUCCGUUCGACGUUUGAUUCGACAGCGCAGCUUCUCCAUCGACGACAACAACCUUCGGCACUGCGCCCAGACUGACGGUGAGAGCGAGCGCGUGUGAGGGUCGUUGAACGUUUCCCCUCCCUCUCCUCAGUUUGCUUCUCUCGUGCGCCACGUUCAGGGGGUCCCUCAUUUCUUCAGGAGACUGGAAGUACGAGGAAUUCCUCAGUGGCCAACCAAAGGCUUCAGGCGUCGCGGAGGCGCCCCUCUCGACGGUUCCGGCAUUCCAUGUUUUCUGGCUCUCCCCCUGCCUCCCCAGAUCGCCUUUCUCUCCUUCCUCGCCGCCUUUGUCGUCUCUGUUUCCAUCUUCUCUGGCGUCUCUUUCUCGAUCUCCGCUGUCUGUGUCGUCGCCGCCUGUGUCUCCCAAUUCCUUCUCAUUCUCUCUGUCUGGCUCUUCGCCGCCUUCUCUGUCCGCCACCGCUACUCUUUCUAUGCGUUCGUCUGUCUUCUGAUUCUCCUCCACUCCGGCCCACUUGUUUUGGAGGACGCGCCUGUAGUCUGCACCGUCCCGCAUUCGUCGAGCGAAGGGCCAGCCACAUUCGCCUGUCGGAGGUCCAGAAACCGCGCGAUGAUAGACAGCCGCACGUGGUUGCUUUCUCCGCGCGUCUCCUUCCUGUUUUCUGUCUCCGUCUUCUCUCUCCUUUUCCGCCUGUCCCUUCUGCUCGUCUUCCUCGCGGGAUCGCAGCACAGACUGCCGCAAAACGGAGUCGACCAUGGCUUGUGCCGCAGCACCGAGGGGGGCAAUUUCUUCUUUCUCUGCCCACACAGUCUGAAUUGCCAGCGUGUCAGGAAGGAGCAAAGGAAGCGGCGAGUGGACGACGUCUUCCUCGAAGGCGAGUGCAUCUGCCUCGGACGCGCCUUGUUCAAUCGCUUCUUGAAGCUCCUUCGCUUCCUCGUGGGUCCACUCAGCAGUCAUGCGAGGCUCGUCUGUCGGGCGUCUGACGAGCGAGACAACGGUCCUGUUCGACGAAGGCGGAGACUCUUGGAUCGACGACGGCUAGACGGAGCACGAAGGUCGACACCCAGACAGACAGAGACGUAAUGCAGUAGGUUUUUGUCGCGCAUGAAGAGGGCGGCGCAACCUCGAGAUGCCAGAUUCGAGUCUCUCGGUGGACCGCGACGUUUGACAAGCAGCUUAGGUCUGUCUACGGUCUCGCAUCUCCGGGCCUUUUUCCCUCACUUUCUUCUGCACGGGCGGCAUGUGGCUUCUCGGUGAGUCGACACCGUGUGUCCGGCGGGUGUUGCCCGUGAAAGAGGGGAAAUCGGCGAAGGGGACAGUUGGCAAACGGAGAUCUCUCGAAACGGAUGGCACUCUUAUUACGCAGCUCCGGAACGUGGUUAUGGUGUCAUAGCGCGAUAGCGACAGCGUCGCACCAGACUUGGACACACAUCGUUGUGGCAUAACAUAAGUUGUUUAACAUAUGCAUAUAUAUAUAUAUAUGCGUGCAUUCAGUGGGGAGGUGCGUAAGUUAGCGCAUCGAGAAGAGGGCAGAAAGUCUUGAGAUAGACAGCUCUGUGGCGAGUGCGGCCCUACGGCUUUCUUGGUUCGGAAGCGAACGACGAUUCUAGGAACAACUCGAAUCUUUUCCACGGAGUCUCUUCGCGUGAUUUGUUGAACUGUUAUACGUUUAAAGAGCUUCGACAAAAAUGUCGCGUAGGCUUCCCCGUCAACCACGGGGGUCCACAAAUCUGCUAACUCGAAGAACGCGUCGCGGAACAAGUUGAAAGUCAGGGACGGACUUCCGUGGGAGUCUCGUCUCCAGUCGUUGUCGAUGAUUGCCAGCGCGCUCUCGGUCGAAAGUGUGGGGAGAAGAACCAAGCAAAUCCUCAUCAAGACCUGGAAAAAAGACAAUCGCCCAGACAGGAACGGAGACAACGCCUGUAGUGAGACCGUGAAACUCUUCCGAUAAGGCCAGCCUCCCACUCGGUAAGAGGACACAACGCUACGUACGUGCGUUGUCCUACAUUCGUGUACUCAUGUCGAGAAAUACAGUCGUUUUUGUCCUUCUGGAACACCUGCCAAAUUUCCGCGAGGACAUUCUGAAUCGCCGGGUGCUCCCUUAACUGGCGUCGGGCGUCGAGCUCUGCAGGACUGUCAAACAAAGGAUUUCCUACGAGACACAAGGGACAGAAAUGUGUUUGCAUGUCCUGCAGAGUACACGUAACAGCACUCCGUUUGCAUGGGAACAAGACAAAUCCGAAAACCAAAGGAACGCCAUUAAGAGCCUCUAAGGGCCUUUGCAGGUGGUGGAUCUGUCCAUGUGCAGGCGAGGUCUCAUGGAAAGGAAGUGAGGCUCCUUUCGAAUGGGUUAUUCGAAUGCAAACAGGUGGCAAGCUUCCCUUAAAAAGCGUCCGAUGCGACGACACACACUCACAGGCGACCAUAUGUUCGAACUCCACAACCAAGCCUGUACGCCUGUCCGCAGGUCUACACACCCCCACUUGCACUGAUGCAUACGCACAAUAGGAUACAGGCACUUGCAUGGUGCGAGGCAGACGGUCCCAGACACACGAACUCACACUGGCCUUCUUUAUAGACGAUCGUCACUGUGGUAGUGAAGCCAAGAAAUGGGGAGUGAGGUGUGUGGACGGCUGUGGAAAUCGGUGGUCGAGUGGAACUCGUCGCUGUGUGGUGCUCGGUGUCGGCGCCAAAUCCGUGACACAGGGUUUCCAUUGUUUUCUCCCCUCCGUGUUCUCUAAUUGGAAAGAGUGUGGCUUCGGGGACAAAAAGAAGCAUCCGGACGUUUUGGACGAACACACUUGCGAGCACGAACGCAGCUGAACGCGCCUUCCGGUCGACGGGGAGAGGAGAAGAAGGCGAAUGAAGACAAGGUGAAGGAAGAGAAAGACCCGGACGCAGUCCAAGCGGCAGGACGAGAAGAAUCAGAAAUCUUAGUGGGCACACAAUUUUCCAUUCUGCAUCUGCUUCCAGGUUCCGUCUUCUUACACAGUUGGAGCGUGCACCGUUUGUCGUGUACCUUGUUGAUGAUAGGGUAUUGCCUGAGGGGUCAAUUCCCACUCGAAUUUCUGGCAGUCGGCGACUUCCGGUGGUUGAUUUGCAGGCUCUGUGUUUCGUGUCUCUCCAUCCUUUCCGAUCUCUGCAGUCUCACUGCUCCGCCACUUGCCCUCGUCACUUGUCUUUGUGUCCUCAGUGGUGUCCCUCUGCUCUCUAGAUAGUUCGUUUUCCAUAUUGGCCUCUUCGCUUCCUUCCGCCACUCCAUUUCCUCGUUCCGCCCCGGCGCUUUCCCCACCUUUCGCCUUCAUCGCCUUCAGCUUCUGCACGAGUAAAUUCUUCUCCCGUUCCCUCUCUUCGCGUUGCUGCUGGAGCUGAAGAAGCUGUUGUUUCUGUUGUUGAAGCUGAAGAGACGUGCGGCGGCUGCCGGUUGUCGGCGACCCGGUGCCAGAAGGCCUAAUCUGAGUGCUGUCUCUUCCCCCUCCAUCUUCCUCUCGAGAUAGAAGAAGCUUGUUUUGCGGAUUUGUCAGGGAUGAUCUUCGACUUCCACUUUUGCCGCCGACAGGACCAUCAAAAAUGUUCACUCCCAAGCUCACUCGGCGGCCACGGGAAGACUGACCGGAAGCAAUCCGUUCACCUUCUCGCCCGCUGGUGCUCUUCUCUCGGUUCACUGACCCCCUCCGAGUCUGCUUCCGUUGUCCUGGCACACCAGUUUGUGUAGUUGCCCAGUCGUCUAGGCCGGCAGGAGAGCCGGGACACCGGAAGAAGCUGGAACUGCGAGAAUUCGCCGAGUCUUCGUCCUCAGGCUUCCGGUCAGAGAGGAGAGAAACUUGUGGAGAGCUCCCUCCCUCCGCCUCAUCGGCGUCUCGCUUCUUGGGCAGGACAGUGGACGACGAGAGGAAAGACGAAGCCGAGGACUCUCGUGAAGCAGUUGAAGGUCGGCGAGAAUGAGACGGAGACGGAUUGCUCCGCUUGAUUCCAAUUGAAUCUCGACGAGACGAGGACGAAGCUCUCCCUUCUUCGCGGGAAGAAUCUGAAGGCUUUUCACCCGGUGUCGACGCAUUUUGGUGGUGCCCUGCUCGGCUUCCAGAGCGAUCUAGACCUGGUGUGCCACCACUCGGGGGAUCUUCAGUGGCUGCAGAACUGAACGCCAUUCUCCGAGGAAAGGUGUGAAUAUGGGCUGCCAAUGGCCAAACAGCACACACGAAGGAGGCGCGGAACAGGCAAGACAAGCAGGAAAAAAAGGGCAAGUGAAAACUCUGCGUCCGCGCAGAAAGGCUGUACGAGCGCCCCGGGCGCGGGGUCAGCUAAGAGCCGAGAUCUAAGGAGGAAACAGAGAAAGAGUGGUUGCUACUCAUUACUCUUGAGUCAAUACAGAAAGAAAGCGAGAAUCGGAUAGCAUGUCUCGGCGUUAUCCUUCGUGUGAGAAGAAUGGUAUCGUUCGAUAAAGAAUACCUUUACGACUUGGCGGGCAACCAGGCUACGCUAGGGUGGGCGGAAGAGUCCAAACGUUGAGGCCGAGGCGGCAUCCAAAAUGUAGUGCACAAUAAGGCAAUAAGCGUAGAUUGGUCUAGUAUUCUACACGUCUGUAAUUUGCAAAUAAGCUCCAGAGUGAACGUGCAUGGGGCUCAUGUCCUCCAGCACACCCGGUUGAGUGCCGGGCGUUUUUCGCACUAGCGAGGAACAGACUCUAGGGAGAUUCUCAGAAUAGUUUGUGUGUGUCUUCAGGGCGUCUUAGGUAAAGUGACCAAAAGGCUUCCGCCUGCAUUUUGUGCCGUAAACGGACGGUGAAAAAAAGAGCUACUUCAAGAACAGGUCUUCGUCAACAUAUAGUGUCCAACAAGCUUCAUUUCGCGAUGUUGACAGCUUUUGCCGCUGAGUGCGGUGACCUCGUAAGCAGGUGGGGACUGCAUGAACUUGUGUGCACCAUCGAAUUGAAAGAAUAAACAAAAACUCUCCACUUACCACGUUCCUUUCAUUCGACACCAGGUUUCUUUCAUUCAACGCUAGGUUCUUUGUCAGAGUAAUCCAGAGAAAGUUCUACUUGCCGCGCUCACGCUCGCUGUGAACGACUUUUCGCGCUCCCCCAAUUGACGCCAACGCUGAGAAAUGUUUUGUUUUGUGUAGCAACAUAAUCUAGACUUUGCGUACACUGCCUGCGUGAAGCCGCUCGAAAGAUGCACGCGAUUUUAUGGCGAGGCACACUUCACAAAUAUUUUCUUCCUUUCCCUCCUUCAGAAGGAAGCAUAGCUGACGGGUGAAGAUUGCGGCAAUCCCCUUGUUAGAACGCACGGCACUUCGAAGGUGCUCGUAGAGCUAACAUGAGAAGGUUUAAUGAGAAGGUUUACUCGAUUGGGUAAGGCGUGUGCCUUCCGUUUGAUAGACGAAUACGUAGAAAACAGAGGACUAACCUGUACUUCAUCUGCAAUGAAGCAAGUUUUCUCGAGGUUUCAGCACAACAGAUGGAGGGAAAAGCAUCUGGUCAGACCUCAGAGGCCCUUCAUGAAACCAAAGGAAGUUGCAAUUUGUUACCAGUUUGUGUAGGCUUCACAGCUUAGACGGCAGAACCGUUCCUUCAGCCCAAACCUAGUCACUGGGCUAGUGGAUAGCGGGAGCACUGCGUUUUGAAAACGACGACGGUUGCUGUAGGCAAAUUUGGCUUUCUCCAACAACGGACAGACAUUAAAGUUGCACAAUCUCGGUUUUACGUACGGCAUGUACCUCGAAAUCAACCCGCGGUGCCCCUGUAAAGGGCCUACCAAGGAUGGUCUCUGCCUACUCAUAUUCGCCCCUCUGUUGCCUAGGGAGCUGCUUCGUAAACUUUACACUGCC
rnacentral:lncRNA from 1 species